CAUUGUAAAUCGCUGGCAGAUGC
rnacentral:piRNA from 1 species